GGAUAUGGAUUAAAUUGGUUCUCUUCCCUCUGCACUAGAACUGGCCACCCCCGGGCUGACCCCACACACAUGUGUUUGGAAUUGUAAGAUGACAUCAGACGCGCGAUGGCAAACACAUUCAACUCGGUUCUCACCUCGUUUUGCGGGAAGAUGCGCAAAAGGCCACUUUUUUUGUUAUACACCCCUGGCGUGUGCCAGAUUCGGACGAUCAUCAAAAUUGCCCAUGGCCUCUCUGAAGCGUCAUUUAGCACCGCUGCACCAUUUACGGUAGAAUGCGCACACGAAACACGGUAGAUGCACAUCACAUACACAGAGAGAGAGGGGAGAGAAAUAGAAGAGAAUAGCGUCUGGGGCUUUCGGCCGUCUGACCGUUACGGCUGACCUACAUCUACAACCCCGUGCACGGAACAAACGGACCAUUUCCAUACAGAGCAAUUCUGUUCUUAUCGUUCUGCAACAUCAACUUUCCCGGCAGUGCCUGUAUCGUGCUUUGUUCUGAUGCGACCUGGUUUUGAGUGUGUUUCAAUAUGUUUUAAAGUGAAAGAACCCCUUUUCCAUUACUCCAACAGAUUGAUUUACAUUCUUCAAGGAUUGCAUAAGCGCUCCUCCUCCUCCAGGAGUAACAACAAUACCGUUAACUUCUUCUCCGUCCUCCGGAAUGACUCGACUCGCGGCCAUCAUCGGCUGUUAAAUAAUGCUGGUUGGCCCACCACCACAACAAUCAUCAACAUUCCAACAGAUCCAGAGUCCAGUGGGAAGAGAGUCCCACUGUCCCACAAGAAUCGUAUGCCAGGCUUUUUUGGGCAGGCCGUCAAAAAUCAACAACACAAACACCAAAAAAUGCCCAACUCUCAUCAAUCUAUCACCGGACGGACUGGUCACGAUAUCGUAUGCUUCUGCUUCUCUCUUUCCAUGCAAGUUUAUUUACCUUUUAAUAAGCACACACACACACCUCCACAGAGCUGUCCAAUGUUCUCUCCUUCUUCCAUUGAUUGACCCCAAAAAACCGGUUGACCGGUUGGUGAUGUGUUCGAUCAAUCUUGUGCCCACCCCCCCUUUCGAACGAUAUGGGGAUCGUCUCCUGUUAUGUCCCCGGACGAACUUUGCCUCAACGUGUACACGGGAAUAAACCGUUUAAAUUCCCAUCAACUACAAACAACAUGCAAUGAUCUUCCAAAAACACACACAGCAUCAUCCCACCCGAUGGAAAGGGGCACCUGUCAUGGCCACGGUCACGGAAACGGGCGCGUAUUCAAAUGUUGCUUACUCUUCUUCGCCUUCUCCCCUCCCCAAAAAAGAGACUCAAAAUGAAGCAAACAAAAACAAAAGCCCCCCUCCAUCACCUUGUUGUCGGCCAACGGGGCAAACAAACUUAUAUUGCAGAACAUAGUACAAAAGAACAUCCAUUUCCUCCCGGUGAUAAUGGAUAAAAACGAAAGAGAAGAGAGAACACAUCACACAGCAAAACAAAAAAAACAUCACACGUUACGGGGUGACAGUUUGCCGGUCAAGUUUGCCAAGGGAAAUGACAUUUUGGGACAAAAGUGGGUCAGCGGAGAAUGUGUUUUUUCGUUUGUAUUCACUCGUUCGUUCGUACCUUUCGUUUCGUUCGUUUGCAUUUUGUGUUCAAAUUUGUUCCACCGACCCCUCUGAGUGAGGAGGGGAAGUUUGCAGAUGAGAGAAGGAGAGAAGGUACAUGUUGUCAUAAACACUUUGGCCAGUAAACGUGUGUGCUAUGUCAGCAAUAGUCUCUACAACAUAAUCAAUGGCUACUAAGAUCACUCACUGUGAAACGGCGAAGCAGCUAUCUUCUAACCCCUGGAUGAUUGAUAAUCAAAGAGGAAAUGUUUCAAAUGGUCCCCGCCCAACACGCCACGAAAUCCCGCCGUGUUGCACACCGGGAGGAACAGCAACAGCACCACCACGAACCGCGUGGGUUGCGGCGGAUGAACGUGCACGACCGACAACACGACGCGUCGAUGAAAAUGUGGGACAGCGGCACUGGCAAAUGUGGGACAACCGUGGCAACCCACACACACAACCUCUACCACCACCAUUACCAGCACCUCCUGCACCACUAGUUGUUGCAUGCAAUCCGGGAAGAUAGCUGGUCCCGGUGGUAGCACGUUUUCCCCGCUCCAUUCGCUCCAGGUGAGAAAAGAGCUUUCUCCUUUCUUUGUGGCUGUUUUGCUACACACCAUGCCAGCGUAUAUUUCUGUUUGCCUUCGCAAUAGGGCAACUUCAAGCACAAAUGUACGUAAAACGAAUCUGUAACGAGUCUUACAAAGCAGAACACAAUACGCGUUAGCGGUAAAACGGCCGCACUAAGAAGUUUAAUGAAAAGUAUCAAAAUAAGCAUAAGAAAAGAAAUCAAUAAGAAAAUUGAAAA